AUGCCUAGCCCUAAACAGACAAUCAUUUUACAAUAAUUUUUCGCCAGGGAACAACGAGCCUCAGCUUAGAACCCAAAGGACUUGGCGGUGCUUUAGCCCCCCCCUAGAGGAGCCUGUCCUAGAACCGAUAGUCCUCGUUUAACCUCACCCUCUCUUGCUCAACCAACCUGUAUACCUCCGUCUGCAGCCCACCCUGUAAAGGCCUUAGAAGUGGGCAGAACUGGUACCGCCUAAGACGUCAGGUCGAGGUGCAGUCUAUGAGAGGGGAAGAGAUGGGCUACAUUUUCUGACCCAGAAGAAUACGAAUUUUGCCCUGAAAAAGCACAUGAAGGUGGAUUUAGCAGUAAGAAGGGAUUAGGAAGCUCUCCUGAAGCCGGCCCUGAAGCGCGUACACACCG
rnacentral:rRNA from 1 species